rnacentral:rRNA from 1 species
UACAGAGGUCUCAAGCGUUGUUCGGAUUCAUUGGGCGUAAAGGGUGCGCAGGCGGCGUGGUAAGUUGAGUGUGAAAUCCUGAGGCUCAACCUCAGAACUGCACUCAAUACUCCCACGCUAGAGGAAUGUAGAGGAGAGUGGAAUUCACGGUGUAGCAGUGAAAUGCGUAGAUAUCGUGAGGAAGACCAGUUGCGAAGGCGACUCUCUGGGCAUUUCCUGACGCUCAGGCACGAAGGCCAGGGGAGCAAACGGG